UACAGAGGGGGCAAGCGUUGUUCGGAAUUACUGGGCGUAAAGGGCGCGUAGGCGGCCUGUUAAGUCAGACGUGAAAUCCCUCGGCUCAACCGGGGAACUGCGUCUGAUACUGGCGGGCUUGAAUUCGGGAGAGGGAUGUGGAAUUCCAGGUGUAGCGGUGAAAUGCGUAGAUAUCUGGAGGAACACCGGUGGCGAAGGCGGCGUUCUGGACUGUAUCUGACACUGAUAGACGAAAGCCAGGGGAGCAAACGGG
rnacentral:rRNA from 1 species